AAAGGGAGACCUAAUUCCAGUAGGAGACGAAAAAAAAGUAGUCCCUACCAAGAAUCAAUCCCAAAAGGUCGGAGCGAGGCAAAAUUGGCUUUCAAACUAGGUUCUGGGUUCACACAAGACCUGAAUCAGGAACAAGGGCUAUUAGCUCAGGUGGUUAGAGCGCACCCCUGAUAAGGGUGAGGUCCCUGGUUCGAGUCCAGGAUGGCCCACCUGCACAGGUGGAAGAAAGAAAAGAAGCUCCGAAUCAGCACCUUAUCUUACUCAUAUAGUAAGAGAGAAUGCUGGCUCUGAGUACAGAGUCCAGAGGAACCUUGAAAACUGCAUAGAGCUAGGUGAAAAAGCCAAAAAAGAAGACCGCAAG
rnacentral:tRNA from 1 species